rnacentral:rRNA from 1 species
AGCGAACGCUGGCGGCAGGCCUAACACAUGCAAGUCGAACGAACUCACCGGAGUUAGUGGCGGACGGGUGAGUAACACGUGGGAACGUGCCGUUUGGUUCGGAAUAACUCAGGGAAACGUGUGCUAAUACCGAAUGAGCCCUUCGGGGGCAAGAUUUAUCGCCAUUGGAGCGGCCCGCGUCUGAUUAGCUAGUUGGUGAGGUAACGGCUCACCAAGGCGACGAUCAGUAGCUGGUCUGAGAGGCUGGCCAGCCACACUGGGACUGAGACACGGCCCAGACUCCUACGGGAGGCAGCAGUGGGUAAUCUUGCGCAAUGGGCGAAAGCCUGACGCAGCCAUGCCGCGUGAAUGAUGAUGGUCUUAGGAUUGUAAAAUUCUUUCACCGGGGGCGAUAAUGACGGUACCCGGAGAAGAAGCCCCGGCUAACUUCGUG